GUAAGCGGAGGAAAAGAAACUAACAAGGAUUCCCCUAGUAGCGGCGAGCGAACAGGGAAGAGUCCAGCACCGAACCUCGUGCUCGUCAUCGGGUACCGAGGAAUGUGGUGUUUGGGAAGGCCGUGCGCGUCUGUCCGGUUUCGUCCAAGUCCUUAUGAACAAGGCCCUUACCCACAGAGGGUGUUAGGCCCGUAGGCUGGCGUGCCGCGACCGUGUAUUGGGUCUUUUCCCCAGAGUCGGGUUGCUUGAGCGUGCAGCCCUAAGCGGGAGGUAAACUCCUUCUAAGACUAAAUAUUGCCACGAGACCGAUAGCGAACAAGUACCGCGAGGGAAAGUUGAAAAGAACUUUGAAGAGAGAGUUCAAGAGUGCGUGAAACCGUUUAUGGGGUUAAACGGGUGGGCCCUCGAAGGUCGAAACGCGUCCCCGCUCUAGUGUGUCGUACGGUUGGACUUUUGGUGCGGCGAUCUUUAACCGGACGUUCGUGCCGAGAGGCUCCCGGCCUGCGACUGCUUCUAGUGGGGGGCCUAGUAGGACUCCGCGACCGACUGGGUGUGCUGUUAUAAGGGGUGCCGGCGUCUCUUCUGUGUUCGAUUUCGGUCGGAUCGGUUGAGUACGGUGCUUUUUUGCCGAACAGUCCUGCCCGGUCGUGACCUGUCUUCUGCGGCGCGUGCUCGCACGUCGUCUGCGGACCCAGAGCGGAGAGUAGAUGUCGGGUCCCACCCGACCCGUCUUGAAACACGGACCAAGGAGUCUAACAUGUAAGCGAGUCGUCGAGUCGUUUAUGAAACUUGAGAGGCGCAAUGAAAGUAAAGCAGCCCCGAUGAGGGUGUUCUGCGAGGGAUGAUCCCGUCUUUUUUUUAAACCGAAGCGGGCGCAGUCCCAGGGCGUGCGAAGCCGCGACAUUGAGUCGGCCGUACGAACCCAGAGCUUACACGUUGGGACCCGAAAGAUGGUGACCUAUGCCUGGCCAGGACGAAGCCAGGGGAAACCCUGGUGGAGGUCCGCAGCGAUUCUGACGUGCAAAUCGAUCGUCGGAGUUGGUAUAGGGGCGAAAGACUAAUCGAACCAUCUAGUAGC
rnacentral:rRNA from 1 species